rnacentral:rRNA from 1 species
UACGUAGGGGGCAAGCGUUGUCCGGAUUUAUUGGGCGUAAAGAGCGCGUAGGCGGCCCUGUAAGUCCGCUGUGAAAGUCAAGGGCUCAACCCUUGAAUGCCGGUGGAUACUGCAGGGCUAGAGUCCGGAAGAGGCGAGUGGAAUUCCUGGUGUAGAGGUGAAAUUCGUAGAUAUCAGGAGGAACACCAGUGGCGAAGGCGGCUCACUGGCCCGGUACUGACGCUGAGGUGCGAAAGCGUGGGGAGCAAACAGG